UUUCGUGAGAUCACGCUUGGUUCGUCUUUGAUGGAUCCCACGAAUGAGGUUGUGGGCAUAAUCAACGGAUCUGUAACAUCAGACCCUGCGACUCUUUAUUUUUUACUAAUACGAAUCCGGAACUUGCAUUGUCUAACUCACCCAACUUGAAAUUCGGUGCAUCUCUGCAUUUACAAGACUCUGAGAAGUCAAUCAAAUGAGCUGCAUGUUAUUUUAAGUUUCUAUAAGAGCUAACGAAAAACCAUGAGAAAUAGGCUCUUCUGUUCACUCCCCAGUCCCCAUAACGAUGGGUAGAAAACUCCCAUUGAUACGUAGAAUCUUAUUUGCAAAUCAUGCAUUAGAAAAGCCAAGCAAAGACGCUAGUUUCGUCCAACACAGCAAUACAAAUUACAGCAAGCAGAUAGAACCAUCUCUUCUUGAGCAAUGCAUUCAACAUCAAGCUGCAUAUGGGUAGAAGUGUAAACAAGGAAAACUGACGCUACAAUCAACUGUAAGUCGAAUGCAUUUUAACUGUUAACCAUAGUGGGAUUAACCAUAAUUGCUUUAAUCAUUAAUUGAUCACUUGGCAGAAUUAAAUUGUUGUACCUACAAUAUUUAUAUAGAAUAAUUUUCCAGACGAAGAAAGCAUUUAAUACCAAAAAUUAAAGAAAAAAAUUAAGAACAGGUAAAAGACACCUUGAUUGCUAGAUAAACAGGGAUGAGUGUUACAAGCAACAAUAAGAACAACAAACAACUACUAAGCCAACAUAUGUAAAGCCCUUCAUCUCAUUCUAAGACCUAAGCAUGAGAAAUACCUCUACCUCACAGCCUUGCGAAAAGAUGUCUCACUACCUAAUUGGCACCUUCCAGCAAGCGAAAGCUUCAAGCUGGAAAGCUUUCAGUGUUAUUUAUUUAACUUACAGAAGGAUUAAAUUACAAAAGAUACUCUUAUCAGGCCUACAGUACAACACAAACAUCAGAUCGCAAGCCUACCACACAGAUUAGUCAGACCCCACGUCACAGAAAGUUUCACUUCCAUGGCAAGAUUG
rnacentral:lncRNA from 1 species